GCUUGAAGAACCCUUAAGAAACCCUUGAAGAACUCCUUCAUUCCAUUAAACAAGUUGGAAUAAUCUAAUCUUGUAUUCUUAAAUCCUUCAUGAAGACUCAACCUUGACUCUGUCACAAAAGAAUUCAAUGCCUUUUUGUGAAGAGUAAGAGAAAUUUGGAACGAUGUCAGGGAGAAAAUCUAUUGUGGAGGAGAUCAAAGGCCACAUCAAAUGAGCCAAAAAGAAGAAAAAGGAGGUGUGUGUCGAUGAGGACUGGAGAAGCCAAAAGCCUCCAAGCACAUGCUCUCGCAUCAGGAACUUCAGGAUGUGCUUCAUCACACCAUGCCAUCCUUCAUCACACCGUCUUCUGAUGUCAUCAUUUAUCACACCGUCUUCUGAUGUCAUCAUUUAUCACACCGUCUUCUGAUGUCAUCAUUUAUCACACCAUCUUCUGAUGUCAUCCUUCAUCACACCAUCUUCUGAUGUUUGUGGUGUUUUUCCCAACAAGUGGGACUGUAAAUCUAGAGUUAGCACCAAAUUGCCUGAACCUAAAAUCAUGCUAAUGAAAGCCCUCCCAUGCUGCCACUGAUCUGUCAGCACUGUCACUAUACGUUAUAAUUAUGUCCCACCAUACAAAGCUCAUUGCCAUCGCCUUGGUUACCGGAAGGGCAAGAGACAGAACGGAAUGCCAGGAUGUGCCGGGUGGAACAGUGCUGAAUUAAACCUGUGUCAGUGUUUAAUAAAUCCAUGGAAUAAUUCAAACAGAAACACGACCACACAUCUGUCUGUCUGUCUGUCUGUCUGUCUCUACAUAUGUCUGUCUCUCAGUUUGUCUCUCUCGCUCUACAUCUGUCUGUGUUUUUCUUUACAU